UUUAUUUUUAACUGAUGGAAAUUUAAAUUUCUUUAAAGGAAUGUGUUUUUCUUUUUGUUUUGUUGUUGUUGUUGUUUGUUUUUGUUUUUGUUUUUUUUUUUUCAGAAGAAAUCAUCCAGGUGAUCUCAGAGCCGGGCACUCCCGUUGUCAGUGUGUAGCAAAUGAGGAAAAAAAAAAAGAAAAAGAGAGAGGAAAAAAAAGAAUCCCGGAGGUCCGGGCGCAGCUCCGGCCCCGACGGGGCGGGGGUUGGUCCGACAGGGCGCACUCCCCUGCGCUUGGCUGGGGGCAGACCCAGAGGGUUCUGUCCGCUUUAUUUUUCGGUCAAGAAUUUGGGGUGUCCCUCUAAGACGGCUCUGGCCGGGCUCGGCUCCCAGCAGCACGGCGCCAGCAGGUGCCCACGGGCUCUCUGUCAGAUUCUUCUCUCUCGGGAGACGACGGCUGCAGCCGCUUCGAGGAGAGAAGGAUUCGGCCGUGGGCUCCCAGGGUCGCGGGGCCGCACACACUCCGCACCCCGCACCUCCUCAGUCCCCCUCUUCUUGGCCGCGAGUCGCCUCCAAAAACAGAGCCUCCAUCCGAUCCUCUUUUGAUCGCGGGAUGUCUGCGCGUAAAUAUAACCUCGCAAACAGAGUUUUCCUUCCCUGAACCUUUCCUGUGUGUUCAUUUAAAAAGUUAUUACAUCAGGAAAAAAAAAAUCGUUUUCUGUCCUUAAGGGCAAAGCAGUUAAGUGUUCUGAGCGGGGAGACAUGUGAUCUCCCCCAGCUACCCCUUGUCUCUUGCCAAACAGAGGAUAAAUAUCUGAUCGCAGGUGAAAUACCUGCGCAGGGAGAGGGAGAGAACAACCCUCGGCGAGCGAGAAAGGAGACGCCGAUAUUACGCAAUAAUCACGGUUCAUUGUACACUCACUGUCUUAACGAGUGGAUGACACCAGUGCGAUAAAUAGAAACCAUUGUCGGGUGACACAGAGGACAAUUAUAACGCGUGAUUGCACUCACUGCCUAUUUCCAGAACCGAAUAUAGCGCAACUUUGCUUCACCGCAUCCACCUUCCCCGUGCAGCAGGAGCCGGUCUCGGAGCGCCGGGCAGAGCCCUCCCCGGCCCUGGGAUGUGUCAUCUCCCCCCCCCCCCCCCACUCCCCCUGUCAGGGAUGGCCAAAGGAUGCUUAGGGGAAACACCGCCGGCAGUGCACUCCGGAGGGGACAGCUGGACUCCGCUAUCAGCCUAAAGAGCUUCACAAACAGUCCAAAAGACUCAAGAGAAGGAUAUAGAUAGAGGGGUCCGUUACUGAAUCCGAUCCCUCAGAAGCUCUGACGUUUAGCUUGUUUUAACCUUUUCUAGCAUCUGGAAUAGUAUUAUAAAAUCUGUCACCGCAACACCUCCCUCCUGGCCGCA
ensembl:lncRNA